ACGAAGCAAAGGAGCUCCAGCUGGAGUGUUUCACUCUGCUGCCAUCUUGAUGAAAAGCCUCCCAUUCAAGUUUUGUCUGAGACAGUCAACAUUUUGUGUAGCUUCUCGUGGCAGGACAAUGUGCUUUGAGGUAGUGUGGACCAGAGAACUUCCCAUUGUACAUCUUCCAGCCUUUAACAAGACCUCCUCAACUUCAAAUAACCACAUCAGGCUAGCCAAACACUUCUGAUCUGGAAGAAUGUAACAAAACUCCUUGUACUGAGCUUCUCGUGGCAGGACAAUGUGCUUUGAGGGAGCGUGGACCAGAGAACUUCCAACCUUUAACAAGACCUCCUCAACUUCAAAUAACUACAUCAGGCUAACCAAACACUUCUGAUCUGGAAGACUGAAACAAAACUCCUUAUACUGAGCUGCUAGAUACAGCUCUCUCCAUGCUGCUGCAAAAACGUGGAGUUCAUUCUUUUGGUUUUUCCUUUCUCCUGGACUGGAAAUAACAUCUGAGGAACCUGUCCUACCAAAAGAACAUACUGGGAAAUCAUAUGCCCCUGGCCACAACUGCCUCUCCAUCAGAGCAGGGAUAGGAAAAUUCUGCACGUGCAAACAGUGAUCGAACAUUGUGCACUGCUGACACGCAAAGGAAUCAAAUCGACAAGUGUGAAAUCACUUUGGGCACGUUUCUGCUGGUCAGUGCUGUGGCCCAUCCUGAGGACUGCGAUCUAAUGAGACGUGGAUCCAACGCAUGUUGAACAUGGAUGAUGAAUGGAUUCAACUCCAGGAGAAAGGGCCUUGCAACAUGACAGGACAUGCAAGUGUUUGCUGGCAAGAAGUGACAAAAGACGGGCACUCAUGGAAGGUCAGACUUGAUCACCACCCAAAAGCACUGACAACACUUUUGGAGCAUCUGCCUGAAAACUGAACCAGUUUGACUUCAGUGCACCUCAUGCUCAUUUUCCUGGGAUUUCUGUCCUGCAGCCUUUGAGCCAUUGACAUUCGAUUAAACUGGUCCUAGUUCAUCCUCUUUGCAAAUUACAUUUGCCGUAGGGCUCUCAUAUGCUGCAACAAAAGGCACACUCAAACUUGAUUCCUGCUAUUCAUGACAACUUGUCUUAAGUGCACAGAGGCUGUUUAGUUGUCAACAAAACAGUUUAUAAUAUCAUAGACAUGUUCGGUGAGGGUGGACG